UGUCUGCCACCAUUGAUCAAUAAUGUAUGUGUUUGAAUAGCUAAGUGGCUCGGCUGGUAGUUAUAUGCGUGUGGUUGAAGUUCCAGCUUUUUACAUAGUUUUCUCACAUGAAUAGUUAUGUUCCACAAUCGCGCACGGAUUGGUAUAUGUCGUUCGCCAAUUGGUCAUGGUAUGUGUUCGCUGUUGGGAGCAAAAGGGUAUAAACUCGGCAAAAAAGUAAGCUUCAAAUAAAGAACAUCUCCGUGGGUGAAGAAUUAGGGUACUUGAAUGAGAUGACGGCCUAGUUUAGGAUUACAUUUUCUGGAAAGAGAGAUUACAUUAGUGUUUUUUUUAUGAGUGUAAUUAGUCUGACUCUUAAAUGUAGUUUGUGCUGAAAAAUUAUUCUUCAAGCUAUUGUAAUGAAUCGUCGGUUGAAUUAUUUAUCUUACAUUGAAAUUGUAUCGCGUUUGGAUGUA